UAGGGAAUCUUCGGCAAUGGGGGCAACCCUGACCGAGCAACGCCGCGUGAGUGAAGAAGGUUUUCGGAUCGUAAAGCUCUGUUGUAAGUCAAGAACGGGUGUGAGAGUGGAAAGUUCACACUGUGACGGUAGCUUACCAGAAAGGGACGGCUAACUACGUGCCAGCAGCCGCGGUAAUACGUAGGUCCCGAGCGUUGUCCGGAUUUAUUGGGCGUAAAGCGAGCGCAGGCGGUUUGAUAAGUCUGAAGUUAAAGGCUGUGGCUCAACCAUAGUUCGC
rnacentral:rRNA from 1 species